rnacentral:lncRNA from 1 species
UUUGUCGCAGUAGGAUAUUUUUUUUGUACUAUACAGGAAUUUACUGAUAUUUUAAAUUUUUUUUUUUUUUUUAUUAAUGUUAAUAAUAGUACGCAUGAAUUACUUUAUUACUAUGCAUUUUAAUUAUAGACCAUAAUCAACUUUAAGUAAAAAAAAAAAAAACGAAAUCUAUUAUAAUUUGCAAAUAUUGUUAUGCAUGCUGUAAUGCAAUUUAUUUUUAUAUACAACGGGAAGAUUUUCAUUAGGUAUCUUUGGACAUUAGGAAACUAACAAAACGUUGCAGCACAUGUCGCGGGCACUCCUCUCGCUACAAUGUCUCUGUUCUUUUCGAUUAAAUAAUUAAUUAAUUAAUAUUGUGUAUUUUUCACGAAAAGACAAUAAAUACGUUACGACCUUUUACGUCAAAAGAACAUAUGUGUAUAUUGUAAUAUUGUAUACAGCAAAAAGACCUUUAUAUAAAAAAAAUGAAUAUGCAUCACAACGGUCUAAAGAGAUGUUGGUAUAUAGUAUUAUUUUGCUAUAGUCGCUCAUGUUAGUCUUUGUAAAAACUAAAUGUAAAGUUAAAUAAAUCAUAUAGAGUGAUACUUAUACUUUUAUCAUCUAUAAUAUAACAGCUGGUAUGCAUAAAUGAUAUAUCGUGUUAUUUUUUUUUUAUUUUUUUUUUGUAUUGUACGUAUGUUUUAUUACACACAAAAUAAUACAGGCAGAUGAUAUUGCCAUAUUGGUUGACAAAACUCAAAAGGAAAGACUUUUUGAUAUCACAAAAAGGAAUUCUUCGAAAAGUACCUUUUUCUUUAAUUUGUUCCCUGUUUUAAAAAUAUAACU